UACGUAGGGAGCAAGCGUUGUCCGGAAUCAUUGGGCGUAAAGAGCCCGUAGGCGGUCUGUCGCGUCGGCUGUGAAAACUCGGGGCUCAACCCCGAGCCUGCAGUCGAUACGGGCAGACUAGAGUUCGGUAGGGGAGACUGGAAUUCCUGGUGUAGCGGUGAAAUGCGCAGAUAUCAGGAGGAACACCGGUGGCGAAGGCGGGUCUCUGGGCCGAAACUGACGCUGAGGAGCGAAAGCGUGGGGAGCGAACAGG
rnacentral:rRNA from 1 species